CCUACGGGUGGCAGCAGUGGGGAAUAUUGGGCAAUGGGCGCAAGCCUGACCCAGCAACGCCGCGUGAAGGAAGAAUGCCCUCGGGUUGUAAACUUCUUUUGUCAGGGCCGAACAAAAUACCGUUCCCUGUCGAUUACGCCACGGCUACCUCCGUGCCAGCAGCCGCGGUAAUACGUCGGUGGCAAUCGUUAUCCGGAUUUACUGGGUGUAAAGGGCGUGUAGGCGGGAGUGCAAGUCAGAUGUGAAAGUCCAGGGCUCAACCCUGGAACUGCAUUUGAAACUGUUUUUCUUGAGUGAUGGAGAGGCAGGCGGAAUUCCUGGUGUAGCGGUGAAAUGCGUAGAUAUACGGAGGAACACCAGUGGCGAAGGCGGCCUGCUGGACAUUAACUGACGCUGAGGCGCGAAAGCGUGGGGAGCAAACAGGAUUAGAUACCCGUGUAGUC
rnacentral:rRNA from 1 species